AGGUUGUGAGUGUUUUU
rnacentral:miRNA from 1 species